CGAUAAUCCACGAGUUACUAUGUAAGAAUCUGUUUCUCUAAUGAUUAAAAAGACAUUUUCUUUUUUUGUUAACCGAAAAUCCCCUUCGAGUGCCUUUCACAUUGCACGAAGUUGUCAAUUUCCUUAACACCUGUUAUCAUAUUUUGAUUCAUUCAGUUAGCUAAAAAGGUCAUGACCCUCAAAAUCAUCCAAUGAUCUUUUGAGAUCACCAGCAACCACACGUUGAUUAAAUUUUUUUAUACAAUGG
rnacentral:lncRNA from 1 species